AGUGAACGCUGGCGGUAGGCCUAACACAUGCAGGUCGAACGGCAGCACAGUAAGAGCUUGCUCUUACGGGUGGCGAGUGGCGGACGGGUGAGGAAUACAUCGGAUUCUACUUUUUCGUGGGGGAUAACGUAGGGAAACUUACGCUAAUACCGCAUACGACCUACGGGUGAAAGCAGGGGAUCUUCGGACCUUGCGCGAUUGAAUGAGCCGAUGUCGGAUUAGCUAGUUGGCGGGGUAAAGGCCCACCAAGGCGACGAUCCGUAGCUGGUCUGAGAGGAUGAUCAGCCACACUGGAACUGAGACACGGUCCAGACUCCUACGGGAGGCAGCAGUGGGGAAUAUUGGACAAUGGGCGCAAGCCUGAUCCAGCCAUACCGCGUGGGUGAAGAAGGCCUUCGGGUUGUAAAGCCCUUUUGUUGGGAAAGAAAAGCAGCAGGUUAAUACCCCGCUGUUCUGACGGUACCCAAAGAAUAAGCACCGGCUAACUUCGUG
rnacentral:rRNA from 1 species